CCGGCGCACGGGUGAGUAACACGUAUGCAAUCCACCUGUAACAGGGGGAUAACCCGGAGAAAUCCGGACUAAUACCCCAUAAUAUGGGCGCUCCGCAUGGAGAGUUCAUUAAAGAGAGCAAUUUUGGUUACAGACGAGCAUGCGCUCCAUUAGCCAGUUGGCGGGGUAACGGCCCACCAAGGCGACGAUGGAUAGGGGUUCUGAGAGGAAGGUCCCCCACAUUGGAACUGAGGCACGGUCCAA
rnacentral:rRNA from 1 species